rnacentral:rRNA from 1 species
AACGAACGCUGGCGGCAGGCCUAACACAUGCAAGUCGAGCGGAUCCUUCGGGAUUAGCGGCGGACGGGUGAGUAACGCGUGGGAAUAUGCCCUUCUCUACGGAAUAGCCUCGGGAAACUGGGAGUAAUACCGUAUACGCCCUACGGGGGAAAGAUUUAUCGGAGAAGGAUUAGCCCGCGGUGGAUUAGGUAGUUGGUGGGGUAAUGGCCUACCAAGCCUACGAUCCAUAGCUGGUUUGAGAGGAUGACCAGCCACACUGGGACUGAGACACGGCCCAGACUCCUACGGGAGGCAGCAGUGGGGAAUCUUAGACAAUGGGGGAAACCCUGAUCUAGCCAUGCCGCGUGAGUGAUGAAGGCCUUAGGGUUGUAAAGCUCUUUCAGCUGGGAAGAUAAUGACGGUACCAGCAGAAGAAGCCCCGGCUAACUCCGUGCCAGCCGCCGCAGUAAGAC